GAUGAACGCUGGCGGCGUGCUUAACACAUGCAAGUCGAACGGAAAGGCCCAAGCUUGCUUGGGUACUCGAGUGGCGAACGGGUGAGUAACACGUGGGUGAUCUGCCCUGCACUUCGGGAUAAGCCUGGGAAACUGGGUCUAAUACCGGAUAGGACCACAUUUUGGAUGGUGUGGUGGAAAGUUUUUCGGUGUGGGACGAGCUCGCGGCCUAUCAGCUUGUUGGUGGGGUAAUGGCCUACCAAGGCGUCGACGGGUAGCCGGCCUGAGAGGGUGUACGGCCACAUUGGGACUGAGAUACGGCCCAGACUCCUACGGGAGGCAGCAGUGGGGAAUAUUGCACAAUGGGCGCAAGCCUGAUGCAGCGACGCCGCGUGGGGGAUGACGGCCUUCGGGUUGUAAACUCCUUUCGCUAGGGACGAAGCGCAAGUGACGGUACCUGGAGAAGAAGCACCGGCUAACUACGUG
rnacentral:rRNA from 1 species